rnacentral:rRNA from 1 species
AGAGUUUCAUUCUGGCUCAGAUUGAACGCUGGCGGCGUGCUUAACACAUGCAAGUCGAACGCGAAAGGGGGCUUCGGCUCCCGAGUAGAGUGGCGCACGGGUGAGUAACGCGUGGAUAAUCUGCCCUCUUGUUCGGGAUAACUGCUGGAAACGGCAGCUAAUACCGGAUAAGCUCCACCAAUUGUAUGGUGGAGGAAAGGAGGCCUCUUCAUGAAAGCUUCCGCGAGGGGAUGAGUCCGCGUCCCAUUAGCUAGUUGGUGAGGUAACGGCCCACCAAGGCAACGAUGGGUAGCCGGUCUAAGAGGAUGACCGGCCACACUGGAACUGAAACACGGUCCAGACUCCUACGGGAGGCAGCAGUGGGGAAUAUUGCGCAAUGGACGAAAGUCUGACGCAGCGACGCCGCGUGAGGGAUGAAGGUUUUCGGAUCGUAAACCUCUGUCAGGAGGGAAGAAAGCGCAUGGCGCCAAUCAGCCAUGCGUUGACGGUACCUCCAAAGGAAGCGCCGGCUAACUCCGUGCCAGCAGCCGCGGUAAUACGGAGGGCGCGAGCGUUAAUCGGAAUUACUGGGCGUAAAGCGCGCGUAGGCUGUUGUGUAAGUUGGGGGUGAAAUCCCACGGCUCAACCGUGGAACAGCCCUUGAUACUGCGCGACUUGAAUCCGGGAGAGGGUGGCGGAAUUCCAGGUGUAGGAGUGAAAUCCGUAGAUAUCUGGAGGAACAUCAGUGGCGAAGGCGGCCACCUGGACCGGUAUUGACGCUGAGGCGCGAAAGCGUGGGGAGCAAACAGGAUUAGAUACCCUGGUAGUCCACGCUGUAAACGAUGGAUGCUGGAUG